AUAAAUCUUCAGGGCAGGGUGAAAUUCCCUAUCGGCGGUAAAGCCCGCAAGCCUUAUAGGUAGGAUUCGGUGAAACUCCGAGGCCGACAGUGAUAGUCUGGAUAGAAGAAGAUAAAU
rnacentral:ncRNA from 2 species